GUUGGGCACAGUGGCGCGCGCCUGUAAUCCUAGCUACUCGGGAGGCUGAGGUAGGAGAAUCACUUGAACCCAGGAGGUGUAGGUUGCAGUGAGCCGAGAUUGUGCCACUGCACUCCAGCCUGGGUGACAAAGCGAGACUCUGUCUCAA
rnacentral:SRP_RNA from 2 species